rnacentral:miRNA from 1 species
GGCUGAGAUUGGGAGCACUCCCU